rnacentral:misc_RNA from 1 species
CUGAGUGUUACAACUCCCAAACCCUUUGUGAACCUACCCUGUUUCCUCGGCGGCUCCGACGCGGGCCGCCGGGGGCACCAAACUCUGGCUUCUUUCAGUGGUAUUCUCUCUGAGUGGCACAAGCAAAAAAUACAAUCA